UACGUAGGGCGCAAGCGUUGUCCGGAAUUAUUGGGCGUAAAGAGCUCGUAGGCGGUUUGUCGCGUCUGUCGUGAAAGCCUACGGCUUAACCGUGGGUCUGCGGUGGAUACGGGCAGACUAGAGGCAGGUAGGGGAGAAUGGAAUUCCCGGUGUAGCGGUGAAAUGCGCAGAUAUCGGGAGGAACACCGGUGGCGAAGGCGGUUCUCUGGGCCUGUACUGACGCUGAGGAGCGAAAGCUAGGGGAGCAAACGGG
rnacentral:rRNA from 1 species